GUGUUAGCUUCUAACUAUCAUAAUUGUGACCUUCAUGCUAUCAGUUUAAAAUUAGAUGAUUAUAUAUUGUAGAAGUUUAUUCAUGGAUAUAUGGUUGCAUUUGCAGACUUGGGUUAGUUCAAUUGAGGCUGCUCAACAAUAAAUAUCAUAAUUUCCAGGAAGUUUGGAUUACCGUGUUACGGAGGAAAUUUUGAUGGAUCGCGUAGCUACCAAUAUGCAUGAAGCAUGCCUGCAGAUUGACAAAGAAUGCAGGUUAGUGUAAAAGUUGUUUGGUCUCUCCUGCUGCAGCCUUUUGUUUCUAGUUCCAUUUCUUUAUUCAUCAAGUUAUUGAACAUGAGUGUGGAUGUUAGAGUUUCACAAAAGUAUUUGUAAAACUGAAGCAAUCAAAAUCAUGAUACCUCUCUUUUAUUCAUCAGGUUCUUUAGGAAGUGUAUUGUGAUUUUGUUAGUUUUAUAUGUGUAAUUACUUAUUGAUUAAUCAAAAGCAUGAUAUUCAUCGGGUUUGUGAUUUUGUAAAACUAAAAAUAUUUGCAGUAUCAUGUUCUUG
rnacentral:lncRNA from 1 species